GGAUUGCAUACAACUUCAUGUCUUAAAUGGGCAAACUAACCCUUUAAAUUUUUAUAAAGAGCUUUCAAGAGAAAAAACAAAUAUGUAAAUAAUUUGUUGGAUUUGGCUACACAAGGAGCUCAGGUCAAGGUUUCAAAAUAUUGAAUUGAUGGAUGCACCUUCUAAUUAAAAAAAAAAAAUUAUUUACUUUGGAAAAAAAGAAUGGGCAAAAGCUGUUCAUACAUAACUUGCGUUCUGAGACUGGGGUUUUGUUAUCAGUCCCCUUUGAAAUAAGAAAUAGGGCAGUUGGUUUUUAUCGAAAACUAUAUGAGAGUGAGUUGUUUCUAGAUGAGUCAGAUGUGAGCGUCUUUUUUGAAAAUUUGCCUCAAGUACCUCAAGAACUUAAUUUUGUAUCAAGUAAAGCUGUUACUUUAGAAGAAUUACAAAAGGCACUUCAAAAUAUGGAAUGUAAUAAAGUGCCUGGUAUUGAUGGCCUGCCGACUGAAUUUUAUAAGACAUUUUGGGCAGAAGUAAGCUUGGAUUUGUUACAAGUACUCAAUGAAAGUUUGGUGAAUGGACAGUUACCUUUAAGUUGCAGAAGGGCAGUUCUUAGCGCACGUAUUUGUGGUGCACAUUAACAGCCUUUGGUUUUAAGAAUGAUUGUGUGUCUAUGCUAAAAGUUCUGUAUAAUGAAGUUGAAGGUGUUUUUCAAUUAAUGGGAAAUUAAGUGCCCCUUUUAAGGUCUUCAGAGGUAUCAUGCAAGUCUGCGCCUUAUCUGGCAUGUUAUAUACUUUAGCCAUAGAGCCCCUCUUAAUCAGAAUAAGAGUGAAACUAUGUGGACUAUCUAUGUGCAGAAACAUAACACUACACCUUCUCUACGUUGGUUGAUCCAGGAACCUCUGAUUUCUGGAUUGCACAUUUACUUAUCAAAUGAGGUGAUGUGUUAUGUGACACACAGCAGCCACAACAGCAAUUAUGUUUUAUUUCAAUUUUUUUCCUUUUUAUUCGAAACAUUCCCAAACGCAUUAACUAUAUCAUGAAAUAUCUUGAUUCUCACCUUUAUAGAUUGUUAGUUGAUCUAUUGUGGGCGAUGGUCAAAAUAACCUGAUAUUGUAAUCUAUUAACGCAUAAAAACGUGUCUGUUUACUUAAUUAACAGAUAUGGGUGUCAUGCCAUAACAUAUUUUAAUAGGACUGACUUUAUAUUUAAUGUGAAUUUAACAUUGAAAGUUAAUGUCAAUAAAAACAUUGUAAGUUAGGCUACUAAUCAUAACACUUUCAAUGUACAGAAAGAGAGAACAUUUACAUUAUCAAAGAACAUUUUCACUGACUGUCUAGAGUUCAAGCACUCUCAAAAACUCCCAUUAAAAUCACUGAAGCUGUUUACACUGUGAAAUUAAUAUCUUACAUACAUAUUCGUACACACAUUUGCACUUUGUUGUUUCUGACGAGAGAAUUUGCCAGAAAGAGGUAUUCAGUCAGCAAGCGAGUGAAGAAAAAACGGCAUCUGAACGCCUCUGAUUGGUCAUUGCAUUCAUAAGCUCAACAGCAUGUGAUUGCUUAUAAUGCAGCGCUGUAAAAACGCGUCUGUAUCUGGAUCAGCGCCAGUCGGCGAAUACAGAUUUGAAUUAAGCAGCUGAUGACAGAUGCACUGAACGUUCUAAUCACGCCUGUGUGAUUGUAUCAAAUAUAGAAAAUAUUAGGCUAGUCGGCUAUUUUUUGUCUUUUGGAAGCUGCAUUCAAAAUCACUUUGAAUGGGCAUGAAGCCUCUGGGAGAUCUUAUGCAUUUCGAAACGAUUUGGUGUUAUAAAAGGGAUCUGUGUGAAGUUACUGAUGAGGAUUUGGAGUUUGCAGUUUUUUUUAAACCUCGUGUGCUGUUAAUUUGUUUUGAUUUUUUGUAUUUAAAAUGAGUUGUGUGUAAUGUAGGGGUUGAUUGUUUAAUGUUGUUGAUAAUAAAGGUAAUAGAAGGUGUGUUGAAAUUCAACUCUAUCUCUCUCUCUCUCUCUCUCUCUCUCACUCAAACACACACACACACACACCAUGCUGGCUUUUAUUUCUGCACUGUAAGGUAAAGAAGCAGAUUUGUUUAUUGCAAGUUUUAAUAAAUACUGCCCCCCCCCCCCCUCCCCCUCUAGACAAUCUAUUUUGUCCUCUCUGAGUUCUGACUUUGAGUUCUCAUGUUUUCAGAGCUGUUGAGGAUACUACAGAGUGUGAGAACUCAGUUAGUUUUACCGCACUGGUUCAACCCACAGAGAACAGUCUGUUCAUCUCUGAGUGUAUCAGAGUGAAUCAGACAAUUUAAGAUUCGAUCAGAUUGGUGUUGAACAACCCAAAGAGACAAAUUCCACAAAGAGGCCCAGGAUAAGAAGACAAUGAUACCUGUCAAAACUUCAACCAGUCCACAACUCCACAUCUUCAGCCAAUGCCCAACCAUUGGCUUCCCAAGACAUCACUUCAAAGGACAACUGGACAUACAGCCAAUCAACAAACUUGGGAAACCCCUUUCUGCAACAAGGACAACAAGGGAACCCCCUGAACACACAACGCAGCGUACAAGCACCGGAAGCUGUCACAGAUUUUGCUCUUCCCAAAUACAAGUAGCCAGGUGCCAUCCAGAAGUCACAACCUGGCAUCACAGAAGCUUCCAUUGGUAGCCUGAUGGCCAACCAUUUGCGCGCUGCGCCGGACAGAAGAGGGGGCACUGGGCGCCGGAAGGCACUUGAGAGCUCUGGAAGUGUGAAUCCAUAGCGGCCCCACUAUAUUACAAAAAAAUAAAAUAAAAACAUAUCAGAUCUCAAAGUAUGUGUAUGUUGUCAGUCAUUGUACAUUUAGGUUGAAAUUGAGUAAUGCUUGACAUUGAAAU